rnacentral:rRNA from 1 species
UGGGGGAUAUUGCACAAUGGGCGAAAGCCUGAUGCAGCGACGCCGCGUGGGGGAUGAAGGCCUUCGGGUUGUAAACUUCUUUUGCUCUGAACAAGGCGCACCAUGGGGUGUGUUGAGUGUAGGGGUUGAUUAGCGCCGGCUAACUACGUGCCAGCAGCCGCGGUAAUACGUAGGGCGCGAGCGUUGUCCGGAAUUAUUGGGCGUAAAGGGCUUGUAGGUGGCUGGUUGCGUCUGUCGUGAAAGCUCAUGGCUUAACUGUGGGUUUGCGGUGGGUACGGGCUGGCUUGAGUGCAGUAGGGGAGGCUGGAAUUCCUGGUGUAGCGGUGGAAUGCGCAGAUAUCAGGAGGAAUAGCGGUGGCGAAGGCGGGUCUCUGGGCUGUUACUGACACUGAGGAGCGAAAGCAUGGGGAGCGAACAGG